GCGGAGAUAGAGCGACUUGGUGACGACAAUAGCGCGGCCCUAGCCCAAGCUGCUGUUUCUCGGGGAACGCCGAGCCGCCGGAGAAUCGAGAUCCCGCGCGGCACGGCAGUAGUUCAAGGACGCACGAGCACCGUGACCAUCAUCACGACGAUGGCGAAGACG
rnacentral:sRNA from 1 species